UAUGAUCUGUACCAUGAGAAAGAAUGUAGCCCAAGGGUUGUUUAUGGUAGUUAAUGAUCUAGUGUGUUUAUUGCUAGAAUCCUGGUUAUCAUAAAUUUGCAAUUUCAUUGAGGAAAGUGAUAUAAGUAUUUCUUAAUAUAUUAAUAUGUGAAAUAAUUUUAGAGACUUUAUUAAAUACACACAGUCCUCUUUAUGGUAGAGGAACAGUUCAGCUUGAGCUGGUGACCGGCUGAACUAGAGGGGUUACUCUGGGAAAGUGGCGAGUCGGCAGGGCAUGUCUGCACAGAUUUUGUGCCAGGUUUCCUGCCUGCACAGCGCUUUCUUCUCUGUCCAAGUUCUGUGCUGACCACAGCUGUCCACAGGCAUGUUUACACUCCCUGUUCUUGCAGGUUGACUUGAGAGAACCACGUAGCUAAAUUGGUGAGAGACUCAGCCUGACCGCUUGUCUUUAGAAGGCCUGAUUGGAAGAGUGCACUCUAUUGACUUUCCUCUAACAAUGAAAUUGUGAAAGAGGUCCUGUAAUAAAGAGGGAUCCGAACAAGCUCAGAAAGAAAAUGAAUUUCAAGGGGCCGAGGCCAUGGUUCUGGAGAGCGUUAUGUUUGCCAUUCUCGCAGAGAGGUCACUUGGGCCAAAACUCUAUGGCAUCUUUCCCCAAGGCCGACUGGAGCAGUUCAUCCCGGU
rnacentral:lncRNA from 1 species